rnacentral:lncRNA from 1 species
UGAGAACUAGCACUGCUAUACCAAUUCAGAGUUAAGAAUAAACGACAGGCAUUGCCUAAUCAGGUGGGCUUAUUUUCCAAAUGUAUGAUUUAGCUAUUGAGCUUAAAUAUUUCAAUGAAAUGAAAACUGUUUAUCCAAUAAAAUUUUUGUGCACUCUGCUCUGUUUAAGGCUCGCAAAAAUGAAUCGAUCGAGGUUCUCUCAUGACCUAACACGUUAUUUGAGAAUUGUGUACACCUAUUAGCUGACCCGGUGGAUUGAUCUCCAUCGGGCACUAAUCAUGUAUGAGGCGUUAUAAGGGUGCUCGACGGGAUGUGUUCCGGAGCAUUGGGUCCCAAAUGGGAACUUGGCUGGGUUACGCCCUCAGUCCAAGUAAGCAGGAGUAAUGGAUCCGUCGGUGGCUAAAAGGUCCGGGAUCACAGCGAGUAACGGAAAGGGAGUGUGACAAUUGCGCGCAAUACAAUAAAAUAUUUUAACAUGCUUAGAAGUUAUUUCAUUUAAAACCUUCUAAGUCAUGUAAAGUAUAAUUGGAUAAACUGCUCUUAUGAUUAUGAAAUAUUUAUAAAAAUGCUAGCCACUAAGUACAUUAGUACUUAGCCCAAAAUUUCUUUCAAAUGUUUUCAGGUUGAUUGGUCGGUGCUGACGGGGCAGAGCUGAGGCUAGGGUUCAACUCCGUAUUUUGUCUUCCGCUGUUGCACUAGUUCUUAUUUGUCUUUUAUUUCUCCAACUUAAGACUUUUAUGUUAAAUUCUGAAUUAUGUUCUUAUCGAGCUUAAACUCUCAACUUCUAGCUCUAUGUUAUUAACGUUGGUUAUCGGAAGCAUGAAACCGAACUUGUGAUCCUAAGGCUUAGAAUGUUGUUGAUUGAUUAAUAUCACUUGAUUUUUGUCUUUCUUCACUCAAAGGGCAUUCCCCGACUUUUUAUCCUAUUAUUU